rnacentral:rRNA from 1 species
AUUGAACGCUGGCGGCAGGCCUAACACAUGCAAGUCGAGCGGUAGAAGGGAGCUUGCUCCUGGAUUCAGCGGCGGACGGGUGAGUAAUGCCUAGGAAUCUGCCUGGUUGUGGGGGAUAACGUCCGGAAACGGGCGCUAAUACUGCAUACGUCCUAAGGGGGAAAGUGGGGGAUCUUCGGACCUCACGCUAUCAGAUGAGCCUAGGUGGGAUUAGCUAGUUGGUGGGGUAAAGGCCUACCAGGGCGCCGAUCCGUAACUGGUCGGAGAGGAUGAUCAGGCACUGAGGAAGUGGGACACGGCCCAGGCCCUGACGGGAGGCAGCAGCGGGUAAUGUUGGAAAAAGGGCGAAAGCCUGAUCCAGCCAUGCCGGGUGGGUGAAGAAGGUCUUCGGAUUGUAAAGCACUUUAAGUUGGGAGAAAGGGCAGUAAGUUAAUACCUUGCUGUUUGGACGUUACCAACAGAAUAGGCACCGGCAAACUUCGG